AGUGGUGUAAAUGAUGACUAAACUUUUUUCCCCAGCAGAUCGACUAUGUUGACUGUUCUGUGUUUAAGCCAAAUAUUCUGAUACACCACU